rnacentral:rRNA from 1 species
CAGCCGCCGCGGUAAUACGAAGGGUGCGAGCGUUAAUCGGAUUUACUGGGCGUAAAGCGUGCGUAGGCGGCUUCUUAAGUCGGAUGUGAAAUCCCUGAGCUUAACUUAGGAAUUGCAUUCGAUACUGGGAAGCUAGAGUAUGGGAGAGGAUGGUAGAAUUCCAGGUGUAGCGGUGAAAUGCGUAGAGAUCUGGAGGAAUACCGAUGGCGAAGGCAGCCAUCUGGCCUAAUACUGACGCUGAGGUACGAAAGCAUGGGGAGCAAACAGGAUUAGAUACCCCCGUAGUCCCUGUCUCUUAUAC